GCGAAGCCGUAAGGCGCUGUAUACGCUCUGACGCCUGCCCGGUGCCGGAAGGUUACGGGGAAGGGUUAGCUGAGACUUCGGUCUCGGCGAAGCUCUGAACCUAAGCCCCGGUAAACGGCGGCGGUAACUAUAACCGUGGGUUGCUACCAACCGGCGGUUCUAAAACUCGGCUAUAUGCUGGAACAUCCGAGCAUCCGACGGUACUCGUUUGUGUCACACCUCGAUGAUUGAGUGUGAGGCAUGAAUACAGUGAUAAUCCGGUUCGGUGCGGACAAUCAGCAGGAAACCGCUUCGCGGGAUCCUCAGAGACUGUACGCCGAGCGCCUCCCUUGCCAAGGAGAGGCGAUGAGACAGUCCGAUCCUCAUGGCGACAUGGGGAGGACGGCAGAAAUGACCGUCCCGCCACUUGUUUUUCGAGUGGAGGUAACAGUGAUGCCUAAGGUUGCAAGAGCCCCUCAGCAGGAGAGGGGUGCUGCCCCUCCCAACGGCGACGUUGGUGAGUGCAGCUGGCUAUAUGCUGGAAUAUCCGGCGCAUCCAUCCGGUACUCGUCAUGCGAUCAGCAUGACAGUGACAAUCCGGUGGUGUGUGGUACGACAAGGGCCACGCCGGACAAUCAGCAGGAAACCGCCCUUGCGGGAUCCUCAGAGGCCAUACGCCAGCCUUCUCGACACAGCGAGAAGAUGAGAUGGUCCGAACCCUGUGGCGACGCAGGGAGAUUGGCUAACGCCGAUCCGCCUCCUCAUACAGGAGGUCAUCAAGCAACAGACAAUCCGGACAUACCGGACAUGAGCGAAAUUCCUUGUCGGGUAAGCUACAGCUUGCCCCUUGGGGGAGCGAUCCCUCAUGCAAAUCCGGCUAAUAACGGGGAACCCCUACCUCGUUCACACGAGCGGGGAAUCCCGUGGGAAGUCGAGGGUCGUAUCAGACCCUUUGACCCCGUAACGACUGAGGCGAAAGCCAAGAUGACGUUCCUGCGCAAGCAAAUCUACGAACGUCAUAAGACGCCGGCCCUCUGAACGAUGCUCGACAUUCCGUCGUACGUUUCAGGCUAUGUGGACGGCGAAGGAUGCUUCUGCAUCUCUUUGCGCCCCCAGCCGCGGAUCAGAGUGGGAUGGGAGAUCCGUCCCAGUUUUUCCGUCAGCCAGAACGCCGAUCGGGCUGAAGUCGUGAACCUACUUCCACAUCUUUUUGGCUGUGGAACCAUCAGGCCCGACCGAUCGGACAAGACCCUGAAGUUCGAGGUUCGGUCUCUUCGCAACUUGCAGGAGGCUGUAAUCCCAUUCUUCGAGGCGUACCCGCUGCUUUCAUCGAAGCGCAGAGACUUCGAGAUAUUCAGCGAGGUUUGUCGUCGCAUGGCGUUGGGAACUCAUCUCACCGCAAGCGGCGUCGAGAGCAUCUGUGACUUGUUGGAACAGAUGAACUCGAGCGGCAGCAGAACGAACGAGAUCGGAAUGAUUCGAGCAAUACUCAAGAGGUGAAGGGAUAGUCUGCGCCCCUAGUAAUAGGGGAUCAACGUGAAGUUCCGACCUGCACGAAUGGCGUAACGACUUGGGCACUGUCUCGACUGGGGACUCGGCGAAAUUGCAAUACGAGUAAAGAUGCUCGUUACCCGCGGAAGGACGGAAAGACCCUAGGACCUUUACUGCAGCUUGAUAUUGGAGUUUGGAACAUUUUGUGUAGGAUAGGCGGGAGACUUCGAAGCCUGGACGCUAGUUCAGGUGGAGUCAACCUUGAAAUACCGCCCUUGAUGUUCUGGGCUUCUAACCCGGGUCCGUUAUCCGGAUCGGAAACAGUGUCAGGUGGGCAGUUUCACUGGGGCGGUGACCUCCUAAAAUGUAACGGAGGUGUUCAAAGGUUCCCUCAUCCUGGUCGGCCAUCAGGAGUUGAGUGUAAACGCACAAGGGAGCUUGACUGCGAGACCUACAAGUCGAGCAGGUGCGAAAGCAGGAGUUAGUGAUCCGGCGGUCCCUCGUGGUAGGGCCGUCGCUCAUCGGCUAAAAGGUACCCUAGGGAUAACAGGCUAAUGGUUCCCAAGAGUCCAUAUCGACGGAACCGUUUGGCACCUCGAUGUCGGCUCAAUUUAGGGCCCUUAGACGGGUAACCGUCUAAGCAAGACUCGGCUAAUAACGGGGAAACCCUCCUCGGUUUCAUACCCAGCAGCUACCUGUCUCAGGUAGUCGCGGACCGAAGGGCAAUCUCGUGGGAAGUCGAGAAGCUCACUGAGCUUCUUUGACCCCGUAACGACUGAAGGCUUUGUGCCUGAGAUAGCGAUCCCUGGAGCAUUGCUCCAAAUUUACGGACGCUAUAAGACGCCGAGCUCCAACCAGCAAGAGAGGUUGGAUGAAGGGAUAGUCUGCGCCACAAGAAAUUGUGGAGAACCGUGCGUCGCAUCCUGGGGCUGGAGCAGGUCCCAAGGGUUGGGCUGUUCGCCCAUUAAAGCGGCACGCGAGCUGGGUUUAGAACGUCGUGAGACAGUGGAUACGCGCUGUCUAUAAAUUCGGCUAAAUGCUGGAAACACCGAGCAUCCCGAGCUACUCGUCCUGUCACAGUGCUUUGCUAGCGUCUGUGGCAUGAACAGUGACAAAGCACCGGGUGCGGUCGAUCAGCAGGAAAGACUGGAUGCCUAUAUCGCAGGCUACGUGGACGGGGAAGGCUCCUUUCACGUAGCUCUCCAGAAGAAUCCGAGUACGACCAACAAAUGGCAACUAGUACCGGAGUUUCACGUGAGCCAGAAUCCAGAACGCCGUCAGGUCCUGGAUCUCAUAGCGGCUCGACUUGGUUGUGGUCGUAUAACGUGAGAAUCACGUAGGAGCGGAGGACAGAUGCCUUGUCUUCGUUGUUCGUAACCGGGUCGACUUGUUGACUCGGGUGAUUCCUUUCUUCGAACUACAGCCACUCUUGAGUUCGAAACAACAGGAUUUCGUCACUUUCUCCCUAAUAGUAAGAGCAAUGUCGCGAGGGGAGCACUUGUCGAUUGAAGGAUUUGCAAGACUGCGAGAACAGGCACUUUUGAUGAACGGCGGUGGGAGAUAUUGUCGAGUACAUCAAGUAACAAUCCAGAAUCCUCAGAGGCCAUACGCCGAACAUGGACUGAGUCCAUGAAGAUAUGGUCCGACCCCCAUGGCGACAUGGGGAGCCAGGCGGAACAGAAACGACCUGGCCGCCGGGCCCAGAAGCACGGCCCGGAGGUAACAGAAGUGUCGGUCCCUAUCCUCCGCGGGCGUAGGAGAUUUGAGAGGAGCUGUCCCUAGUACGAGAGGACCGGGACGGACGCACCUCUAGUGUGCCAGUUGUCCUGCCAAGGGCAGGCUGGUUAGCUACGUGCGGAACGGAUAAGCGCUGAAAGCAUCUAAGUGCGAAGCCGACCUCAAGAUGAGAUCUCCCACCAGAUCAACUGGGUAAGGCCCCUUGCUAGACGACAAGGUUGAUAGGCCGGAGCUGUAAGCACAGCAAUGUGUUCAGGCGACCGGUACUAAUAGGCCGAGGGCUUGGUAUC
rnacentral:rRNA from 1 species